GUCAGUUGUUAGUUUGCUAGGGAGAGAGCGCAGAAUUCUGGGUACCUGAAGGAGGGAGAGCCAGAGCUCACAGAUGUGGGAACUUCACCAUUUUACGUUAGCCCACCAAUCUGCUGAUUUACUUACUUCUUUGACUGCCUAUAUAUCAAGUGACAGUCACAGGACUUGGGGAAGAAGGCCAUAGAACUCUGCCAGAGUCAGCAGUUUUCUGCCUGCUUAGUCACACAGCCUCUAAAUAUUUAAUGCAGAAGCCCCUGGAGCCAAGAAAGGACUAAAAGGAAAAGUAUUUCAGAGGGAGAAAAUAACUGCAAAGUCUUAAAUACGUCCCUUGGAAGAGUGGCGAUGAAAUAUAGUGGAAAGAGCGCUGGCAUCAGAGAUCGUGUCUGAAUCCUGACUCUGCUGAUUACUUGCUAUGCAUCCUGAGGCAAGUUACACUCUGGAGCCUCAGUUUACCCAUCUCCAAAAUGAGGCAACUGAGGCAAACAGUGGUUAAGUGGCUUGCCCAAGAUCACCCAGCUA